CCUACGGGUGGCAGCAGUGAGGAAUAUUGGUCAAUGGACGAGAGUCUGAACCAGCCAAGUAGCGUGAAGGAUGACUGCCCUAUGGGUUGUAAACUGCUUUUGUACGAGGGUAAAUCCCGAUACGUGUAUCGGGUUGAAAGUAUCGUACGAAUAAGGAUCGGCUAACUCCGUGCCAGCAGCCGCGGUAAUACGGAGGAUUCAAGCGUUAUCCGGAUUUAUUGGGGUUAAAGGGUGCGUAGGCGGUUCGAUAAGUUAGAGGUGAAAUCCCGGGGCUCAACUCCGGCACUGCCUCUGAUACUGUCGGGCUAGAGUUUAGUUGCGGUAGGCGGAAUGUAUGGUGUAGCGGUGAAAUGCAUAGAGAUCAUACAGAACACCGAUUGCGAAGGCAGCUUACCAAACUACGACUGACGUUGAGGCACGAAAGCGUGGGGAGCAAACAGGAUUAGAUACCCUUGUAGUC
rnacentral:rRNA from 1 species